rnacentral:rRNA from 1 species
CCUACGGGUGGCAGCAGUGGGGAAUAUUGGACAAUGGGCGAAAGCCUGAUCCAGCCAUGCCGCGUGUGUGAAGAAGGCCUUCGGGUUGUAAAGCACUUUCAGUGGGGAAGAAAGCCUUGGGGCUAAUACCCUCGAGGAAGGACAUCACCCACAGAAGAAGCACCGGCUAACUCCGUGCCAGCAGCCGCGGUAAUACGGAGGGUGCGAGCGUUAAUCGGAAUUACUGGGCGUAAAGCGUGCGUAGGCGGUCUGAUAAGCCGGUUGUGAAAGCCCCGGGCUCAACCUGGGAACGGCAUCCGGAACUGUCAGGCUAGAGUGCAGGAGAGGAAGGUAGAAUUCCCGGUGUAGCGGUGAAAUGCGUAGAGAUCGGGAGGAAUACCAGUGGCGAAGGCGGCCUUCUGGACUGACACUGACGCUGAGGUGCGAAAGCGUGGGUAGCAAACAGGAUUAGAUACCCUAGUAGUC